GGUGCAAGCGUUAUCCGGAAUUACUGGGUUUAAAGGGUGUGUAGGCGGUUUUUUAAGUCUGUGGUGAAAGGUUACAGCUCAACUGUAAAAGUGCCAUGGAUACUGGAAGACUUGAGUAUUAUAAAGGAAGGUGGAAUUCGUGGUGUAGCGGUGAAAUGCAUAGAUACCACGAGGAAGGCCGAUUGCGAAGGCAGCUUUCUGGAUAAUAACUGACGCUAAAACACGAAAGCGUGGGGAGCGAACAGGAUUAGAUACCCUGGUAGUCCACGCCGUAAACGAUGGAUACUCGGUGUGUGGUCUUCGGACUGCGUGCCUUAGCGAAAGCGUUAAGUAUCCCACCUGGGGAGUACGUCGGCAACGAUG
rnacentral:rRNA from 1 species